rnacentral:rRNA from 1 species
GACGAACGCUGGCGGCGUGCUUAACACAUGCAAGUCGGACGGAAAGGCCCUGCUUUUGUGGGGUGCUCGGGUGGCGAACGGGUGAGUAACACGUGAGUAACCUGCCCUUGACUUUGGGAUAACUUCGGGAAACUGGGGCUAAUACCGGAUAGGAGCUCCUGCUGCAUGGUGGGGGUUGGAAAGUUUCGGCGGUUGGGGAUGGACUCGCGGCUUAUCAGCUUGUUGGUGGGGUAGUGGCUUACCAAGGCUUUGACGGGUAGCCGGCCUGAGAGGGUGACCGGCCACAUUGGGACUGAGAUACGGCCCAGACUCCUACGGGAGGCAGCAGUGGGGAAUAUUGCACAAUGGGCGGAAGCCUGAUGCAGCAACGCCGCGUGCGGGAUGACGGCCUUCGGGUUGUAAACCGCUUUCGCCUGUGACGAAGCGUGAGUGACGGUAAUGGGUAAAGAAGCACCGGCUAACUACGUG